AUGGGAUGUGGAGGUGAUCAUUCAUGAGAUGAGACAGAAUACAAAUUAUUCUUAACCAACAAUAAUGCUAACUGUUCCGGGGGGUUAAAGAUCCACCUGAAGCUCGGGCUACCUAAUCUAGCAUUAGAAGCUGUUAGUUGGCUGAUCUAGGAAUGAAGGAUACAAAGAACCCAGAAUAAUUUGACAAUAAGCUUUUGAUAUUAUGAAUGAUCACCUCCACAUCCCAUGGGAAUGGAGUAUUAGAAGAUAAAAUCAGGUGAAUAGUUUGUAGGGUGUCCGAUUCUAUCACACACUCGACAAUGCCCUUGAAAACUGCAAAUUCAAUAGCUGCUUUCAUGCCCAGAGCUUCUGCUACCAAGGGGGAUAAACAAUUAAAAAUAGCUGCACAACCAUCUAUAAAUGGGCCUGUAGAGUUUCUCAAAAUAACACAAUAGCCAGCCUUGGAUGAAACAUUACUAAAGGAUGCGACAACAUUCAAUUUCACCGUACAAG
rnacentral:misc_RNA from 1 species